GAUGAACGCUAGCUACAGGCUUAACACAUGCAAGUCGAGGGGUAACGAGAGGGAAGCUUGCUUUCCUUGUCGACGACCGGCGCACGGGUGAGUAACGCGUAUCCAACCUGCCCCCAACUAGGGAAUAACCUUGCGAAAGUAAGACUAAUACCCUAUAAUUUCCUCAGAUGUCAUCUGACGAGGAAUAAAGAUUUAUCGGUUGUGGAUGGGGAUGCGUCUGAUAGCUUGUUGGCGGGGUAACGGCCCACCAAGGCAACGAUCAGUAGGGGUUCUGACAGGAAGGUCCCCCACAUGGGAACUGAGACACGGUCCAAACUCCUACGGGAGGCAGCAGUGAGGAAUAUUGGUCAAUGGGCGGAAGCCUGAACCAGCCAAGUAGCGUGCAGGAUGACGGCCCUAUGGGUUGUAAACUGCUUUUAUACAGGAAUAAAGUUAGCCACGUGUGGUUAUUUGUAGGUACUGUAUGAAUAAGGACCGGCUAAUUCCGUGCCAGCAGCCGCCGUAA
rnacentral:rRNA from 1 species